rnacentral:misc_RNA from 1 species
UUGUUGGGGGAAAAAAAGCCAUACCAUUCACCUUCUAGCCUCGCCUAGAAGUCUGUGGACAUCCAUUUACAUCAUUUCUUUGAAAAGCUCCGACUUCCUUCUUUUCCUUUCCCACACACUCGCUCUACUUUUGAGAUAUCGUGUAAUCAUAUCUCUCUUUGACUUUCUCUCCCCUACUUCAAUUAAAGCUUGCUCAGUGUCCGGAAUCGGGACCGGGGUGGACCAUGGUAACUCGGCGAGUCAUUUACUCAUGAGAUCCAGCCUUGCCUCCCAUACUCACCUCAACCUGCUUUCUCUUUUUUUUUGUUUUAGACUUGGAUCUAGGGGCCCAGCACCAUAUCCCUGCUUGAAGAGAUGGUCAUCUGUGCUCCACAGCUACUGGUGUCAUCACCCUACAAAGAGGGGGAAGCAACCAAGAUGUAUGUCGUCCAACUCAACCUCAGACUCUUUCUUCCCGACCUAUUUGACUCUCUGGCCGCAGUUAUUUAGGUGGUAUCCCGAGAUUGAAGAGAUCGAAUUACUCCCCGGAACACACGAAAGAAAAAUAUGAACUAGGUAAAUAGAAAUGGAAAAAAGAUGUUUCCAAUUCAUCAAAAUCAGAAGCUUUUUCUACAUCCAUAUGAUCUACUAAAGUAGAUCGAUAUUGCCCAUAUAAUAAAAGCAGAUCUUGGUCCAUGGAGUCCCAAGAAGGUAAGAACUCCAACCUGUCCGAUGCUUCUUCGGCCAAAUACAAUAUACAAGUGGGACCUGCACUAUGAGCAAGCUGUGCGAAAAACCGCUUCUUUUUUCCGGUUCCGAAACAACUUGGGCGGAAACCAUAGAUUUUUUAGUUUUCGCCAUUGGUUACUGGUAAAGCCACUGGAAUGGAAUAAGAUAAGAAUCUCUGGAGAUCUUUCCUCUCCACUUACUCGAUACAGGCUUUCCCUCUGUAGAAGACUUCUUCCAAAUGGCAUAAUUGUCCGACACUACGUUCCUCGAUCUUCAAAGAAGACUGACUCCUCCUACUCCUCCUUCUCCUUUAGGAUAGGAUCGUCGUUGGUCCUUCUUUCACUAAUGAUCUCACCAUUUUCUAGUAGUUCGCGCGAACGCGCGAGGGACUAUCCUUUCUAUCGCUUGCGCUUGCUUUUCACUCUCAAGACAACGGUCUUUCUCUUCUAUAAAGCGAAGCAAAGCGCAUGGCGCUGAAGUGAGACAAUCGAAAGCACGGUGAAAGGAGUACUAUCCAGGUGCGAAGAGCUCGAUCCGGUUUAGUAUCACGCAAUUGCUAGAGCACGGGAGGAUCGGGGAACAGAUAUG